GAUAUGCCUAGAUAUUGCCUCCUAUCGGACUCUAUCCAACUGUUUGGUUGCACUGAUAUACUAACCUACUGACUCGGGGAAAAAAUGUUAACCCGGUAGCAUUUACGAUAGCUACCUGCACUUCAGCGUAUAUGGCUAACAAGGGAUUUAUCAGCGAUAGCCCUCAAUCUCAAUGUUCCCGUUUGUCGAAAUUCACCACAGUCACCAUUAUACCCCUCCAAUUCAUCCAUCAUUUUUGAACCACAAGCUGCUGCGAAAAAAAAUUGGUUGUCCUCGAACGAAUUGUGCCACCGCCGUCGACGACUUUAGGUUGAAAUAAUUGAACCUGGGCUCGAUUCUCAGUUCAACCCCAUGGCUAAUGAAGAGGAAUUUCACAAGGCGUGAGGAGAUGAGCCCUGAACAUGUAAGAUAUUGUCGUGCGUCUUCACUUUCAAUGACGCCCAUAUCCUUGGUUUUUUUCCUUCACUAGGUUGCCCGUUAGGCGUGAGGAGAUGACAUCCGUCUUGAUUUUUGCUAGAGGAGAUAUUAAGGAACUACCAAAUUAAUAUGUUUGCCGUGUUGAAGAUGCGAUGGGGUAUACUUCGGUCCGCAAGUUUCUACCCAAUUGAGGUACAAACGGGCUUGAUUAUCGCAUGUUUCCUACUUCACAAUUUCAUUCGUAGUCAAAUGCCGGUUGAUCCGAUCGAGAUGGAGUUGGGCAACCAAGACGACAAUGAGGCCGAAACGGAUCCUCAACAAGCGGUUGGUGACCAAGAAGUUGGUGAUCAUAUCAACUGUGUGGAACCUUCGGGAAGGAGGGCCGAGGGAAGGAGAACAACACAAGACGUACCUGAGUAGGUCACGAUGAAACGGUGGAUGGCUAGCAAUCUUGCCCGACACAACAGCUGCACUCGGUGAAGUGGAAUGUGGGAGAGGCGUGCGAAUUCAAUGUAUGCGGGUGUUUAAGUUGAGCCAAAAAUGAAAUAGGGUUUGCAAGGAUAAAACUGUCACUACAAUAAUCUUAGAAGGGCAAAUUUGUCUAUGUAUUUUUGUAUCGGCAGUUUCUGCAGUCCAAAUCAAACAUAAUAUAAGUUAUCAUGGGGUUGCUGUCGGUGCAACCAAACAUCGAAGUGAGAUACAUAUCUCACCACAUUAUCAUGUAAAAUCAAUGUAAGGAGGCUAUCUCA